GGGGGCGAUCGGUUUCGACGGGGAUGAAGAAGGAUCGGUUGCGUGUCCGCCGGCCUGGUACGGCGCAAAUCAUCCAGGAACCCAUAAGUGCGAACGACAACGCGCUCGCUCUCGCUGCCUGAACAGGGUUAGUUGAGGGCCGUCGACCCGGAGAGCCCGUCGACGCUCUCCGGUAAGGCGUCAUUCGAGUUGACUGGUUGCCGUGGGCGUUGCUCGCCACGGUGACGAGACUUUAGAGCAUCUAGCGACCCUGCGAGCCCGUCUGUGGGCGCAAUGGAGAGCGAAAUUUCAAAUACACGGACUACGCACGUAGAAGCCUCUCUGGAACAUCCUCGGACUGGGGUUCGAUUCCCCACGCCUCCACCU
rnacentral:tmRNA from 1 species